rnacentral:rRNA from 1 species
UACGGAAGGUGCAAGCGUUAAUCGGAAUUACUGGGCGUAAAGCGCGCGUAGGCGGCUUCGUAAGUCGGGUGUGAAAGCCCGGGGCUCAACCCCGGAAUGGCUUUCGAAACUGCUGAGCUAGAGUACAGAAGGGGCAACCGGAAUUCCCAGUGUAGCGGUGAAAUGCGUAGAUAUUGGGAAGAACACCUGAGGCGAAGGCGGGUUGCUGGGCUGAUACUGACGCUGAGGCGCGAAAGCCAGGGGAGCAAACGGG